UACAGAGCCUGCAAGCGUUAUUCGGAUUCACUGGGCGUAAAGGGUGCGCAGGCGGCCAAGUGUGUGAGGCGUGAAAGCCUGGGGCUUAACUCCAGAAUUGCACCUCAAACUACAUGGCUAGAGCAUUGGAGAGGGUAGCAGAAUUCACGGUGUAGCAGUGAAAUGCGUAGAUAUCGUGAGGAAUACCAGAGGCGAAGGCGGCUACCUGGACAAUUGCUGACGCUCAGGCACGAAAGCGUGGGGAGCAAAAGGG
rnacentral:rRNA from 1 species